rnacentral:rRNA from 1 species
UACAGAGGGUGCGAGCGUUGUCCGGAAUCACUGGGCGUAAAGGGCGCGUAGGUGGCGACCCAAGUCGAUGGUGAAAGCUCGCCGCUCAACGGCGAGUCGGCCACCGAUACUGGGUUGCUCGAGCACUGUAGAGGCUAAUGGAAAUUCCGGGUGUAGCGGUGGAAUGCGCAGAUAUCAGGAAGAACACCAACGGCGAAGGCAGCUCGCUGGGACGGUACUGACGCUCAUGCACGAAAAGCGUGGGGGAGCAAACAGG